AUGUGCUAUAAUUUGAGGGGAUAAAAAAUUAAAGUAAGAGAAAGACGUAGAUGAAAAGAUAUGCCGACAUCAUACUCUCUUCAAGUCUUCGGCUCAAUAGAACCCUGAUUUCAUAGACGUUGGCCGGUGUCAUUUGCGGACUUUUUCAGGUGUGCUGGAGAAAUGCACUUUUACAUGUGGAAAUAGCAAUUGGGUACUGACAUUUUGAUGUUCUUGUAUUGCUCCAAUGAUUAGUUCUUAUGAGUUACUGCCAUGAAAAGAAGGAAUACAGACUAUAAACAAAACAAAGUAUUAACUCCUUAAGAUUUUAGAAAGGGCCGGGAAGAAUUGAAAAGGGAAAGCAAAAGGAAAAGGAUGAGAAGAGAAGUGUUUAUUAUUCGCUGUUCGUACAAAAAGAUUAGAGUUGAAUUCAAUAAUGGACCGUGUGUUUGAUGUAUAUCGCUUAAGUGGUUGUACCAGCCAGGUCCAGUGGCAAGCAUGAUGUUCUAAUUUCUAAUCGCCUACAGUGGCUUCUCAGCAACUGCAGUGAUGCUGAUAUUGUAUGAGCUAUUAGAAUUUGCUGUGAUUUAUUUAUUUAUUUAUUUAUUUAUUUA